rnacentral:rRNA from 1 species
GACGAACGCUGGCGGCGUGCUUAACACAUGCAAGUCGAACGGAAAGGCCCUGCUUUUGUGGGGUGCUCGAGUGGCGAACGGGUGAGUAACACGUGAGUAACCUGCCCUUGACUUUGGGAUAACUUCAGGAAACUGGGGCUAAUACCGGAUAGGAGCUCCUGCUGCAUGGGGGGGGUUGGAAAGUUUCGGCGGUUGGGGAUGGACUCGCGGCUUAUCAGCUUGUUGGUGGGGUAGUGGCUUACCAAGGCUUUGGCGGGUAGCCGGCCUGAGAGGGUGACCGGCCACAUUGGGACUGAGAUACGGCCCAGACUCCUACGGGAGGCAGCAGUGGGGAAUAUUGCACAAUGGGCGGAAGCCUGAUGCAGCAACGCCGCGUGCGGGAUGACGGCCUUCGGGUUGUAAACCGCUUUCGCCUGUGACGAAGCGUGAGUGACGGUAAUGGGUAAAGAAGCACCGGCUAACUACGUG